rnacentral:rRNA from 1 species
GAUUGGAGUUGCUCCUAGUACGAGAGGACCGGAGUGGACGAACCUCUGGUGUUCCGGUUGUCAUGCCAAUGGCACUGCCCGGUAGCUACGUUCGGAACGGAUAACCGCUGAAAGCAUCUAAGCGGGAAGCCGGCCAAGAGAUGAGUCAUCCCUUGUACCUUGAGUACACAUAAGGGUUGUUGGAGACCACAACGUUGAUAGGUGAGGUGUGGAAGCGUAGUGAUACGUUAAGCUAACUCAUACUAAUUGCCCGAGAGGCUUAACCAUACAACGCCCAAG